AGCAGCCGCGGUAAUUCCAGCUCCAAUAGCGUAUAUUAAAGUUGUUGCAGUUAAAAAGCUCGUAGUUGAAUUUCGAGAUCAGUACGCUGGUCGUGCCUUUGGUAUGCACUGGUGUCACUGGUUUCUCCCUUCUGAAGAACUGUCAUGCCAUUCAGUUGGUGUGGCGGGGAAUCAGGACUGUUACUUUGAAAAAUUAGAGUGUUUAAAGCAGGCUUGCGCUUGAAUACAUUAGCAUGGAAUAAUGAAAUAGGACGUUUGACCCUAUUUUGUUGGUUUCUAGGAUCGACGUAAUGAUUAAUAGGGAUAGUUGGGGGGCAUUAGUAUUCAAUUGUCAGAGGUGAAAUUCUUGGAUUUAUUGAAGACUAGCUACUGCGAAAGCAUUUGCCAAGGAUGUUUUCAUUAAUCAAGAGCGAAAGUUAGGGGGAUCGAAGACGAUCAGAUACCGUCGUAGUCUUAACCAUGAACUAUGCCGACUA
rnacentral:rRNA from 1 species